rnacentral:rRNA from 1 species
UACGUAGGGUGCGAGCGUUGUCCGGAAUUACUGGGCGUAAAGAGCUCGUAGGCGGUUUGUCACGUCGGCUGUGAAAACCCGAGGCUCAACCUCGGGCCUGCAGUCGAUACGGGCAGACUAGAGUAUGGCAGGGGAGACUGGAAUUCCUGGUGUAGCGGUGAAAUGCGCAGAUAUCAGGAGGAACACCGGUGGCGAAGGCGGGUCUCUGGGCCAUAACUGACGCUGAGGAGCGAAAGCGUGGGGAGCGAACAGG